AUUGAACGCUGGCGGCAGGCCUAACACAUGCAAGUCGAACGCGUGGCGGACGGGGGAGUAAUAUCUGGGGAACUGCCCGUGGGGGAGGGGUAACUACAGGAAACGCGAGAUCAUACCGCAUACCAUAGGAUAUGGGCCGAUGGGGUUAGCUAGGAGGUGGGGGAACGGCUCACCUGGGCGACGAUCCCUAGCGGGUCUGGGAGGAUGACCAGCCACACGGGAACGGAGACACGGUCCAGACUCCUACGGGAGGCAGCAGUGGGGAAUAGUGCACAAUGGGCGCAAGCCUGAUGCAGCCAUGCCGCGUGUAUGAAGAAGGCCUUCGGGUUGUAAAGUACUUUCAGCGAGGAGGCGUUACUCGCAGAAGAAGCACCGGCUAACUCCGUGCCAGCAGCCGCGGUAAUAC
rnacentral:rRNA from 1 species